GUAGGAGUUGAAUUAUUGUCCUUUCCUCCCAUCAACUCCGAUCCUUCUUUUGCUUUAUUAGAUCCUUCACCCUCCUGAAUUUUCAGUUCUGUAGAAACAUGUUCCUGCUUAUCUGAAGAUUUCAUAUCGCCAAUAAUCAGAUCUUGAGAUUGGACAUAUGUAGUAGUAGAUCCCUGAUUUUCUGAAGUUCCCACAUCGUGGCAAAUUUCCUCUAACGAUCUCAUAUCACUGCCAACAUUUACUUCAUCUAGAGACAUUAAAGUAUUUUUAGCUGGUUCCUCCUGUAUAUCACCUGUCUGUUCCUCCUUGUUUCCAUUUUGAUCUUCCAUCACAGAAUCACCAGCAUCUUGAACUGUGCCCACUAAAUUAUAUGAAGAUUCUUCCAUUUCCUCAGGAUCCAUCUCAUACAUGAGCGUUGGUCCUGCAUCAUUUAAGUCCUCUGCAUCUUUCUCCUUAACAGGACCUUCCUUUGACUCCUCUGCAUCUUCCUCCUUGACAGGAUCUUCCUUUGAGUCCUCUUCAUCUUCCUCCAUGACAGGACUUUCCUUUAAGUCCUCUGCAUCUCUCUCUUUCAUGGCAUCUUCCUUUGAACCCUCUGCAUCGUCCUCCUUCUCAGGAUAUUCCUUUGAGUACUCUGCAUCUUCCUCCUUGACAAGAUCUUCCUUCGACUCCUCUGCAUCUUUCUCCAUCACAGCAUCUUCCUCCUUGACAAGAUCUUCCUUCGACUCCUCUACAUUUUUCUCCAUCACAGCAUCUUCCUUUGAACCCUCUGCAUCUUCCUCCUUUGCGGGAUAUUCCUCUGACUCUGCAUCUUUCCCAAUUACAACAUCUUCCUUUGACUCCUCUACAUUUUUCUCCUUUAUAGCCUCUUCUUUUGACUCCACUAUAUCUUCCUCCUUGACAAUAUCUUCCUUUAAGUCCUGUGCAUCUUUCUCCAUUGUAGCAUCUUCCUUUAGGUCCUGUAGACCUUUCUCCUUGACAGGAUCUUCCUUUGAGACCUCAGCAUCUUCAUCCUUGACAAUAUCUUCCUUCAAGUCCUCUGUAUCUUUCUCCUUCGCAGCAUCUUCCUUUAGGUCCUGUAGACCUUCCUCCUUGACAGGAUCUUCCUUUGAGUCCUCUGCAUCUUCCUCCUUGUCAUGAACUUCCUUUGAGUUCUCCGUCUCUUCCU
rnacentral:lncRNA from 1 species